ACUUCAUGGAGAGUUUGAUCCUGGCUCAGGACGAACGCUGGCGGCGUGCCUAAUACAUGCAAGUCGAGCGGACCGACGGGAGCUUGCUCCCUUAGGUCAGCGGCGGACGGGUGAGUAACACGUGGGUAACCUGCCUGUAAGACUGGGAUAACUCCGGGAAACCGGGGCUAAUACCGGAUGCUUGAUU
rnacentral:rRNA from 1 species